UCCUCGCUGGCGGUUUUACCAAAAAACUCUUCUAUUUCAGAGAAAUUAACCGCAGUCCUUUGUUUAGUUAAAAAACGUUUCGUUUUUAUAGAAACACCCCUCCUCGUGGUCAAGGUCUUCUUAUCCACAUCCCUCCUCGACCAGCGCCCCCAUCCCUCCACCCCGACGUCGCGCACCGCUGCCGCUGUUGCCCCCGCCGCCGCCGCGCCGGUCGGCCGAGGUGGCAGACCGCGCUUAGCGUCGCCGCCAAGAACGCAGCCCUGAUAGCCGUGCUGGCCGCGCGCCCUUUUUUGGCGGCUCCCUCCGGCCUUCGCCCUGAGCUUGACUGUUCUUGGAAUUUGCAGGCGGAGUUGACUUCUUGAUGGGGCUGUUCGAGCGGGUGAUCCACGACAGCGUCGCCGAGUUCUUGAGGUACACACGCCAGCCACUCUACCGCAAAUUAACUUAGUGCUGGAACCCCCACUGGUACGUCCUCCUGCCGCCGCGCUUCUGCCGGCGAGGAGCCUCGUGGUGCCGCUGGCUAUAGCUGCCGGUGCCCAUGCUUGUGGUGGCCGCGUAUCUCUCGCCGGACCCUCCUGGUGUAUCCUGUCUGCUUUGGGGAUAGUGGUGGUGCUGGUGCUGGUGCUGAUCCGUUGAGCACGUCCCACCUGAAAAUGGUGGCCACCUCUGGUCUUGUUGGAAGACUCUGCUGCUGUACUGCUGCUCGGCUGGGUAACCAGGAUUCGAGAAGUGGGGUGUGCUGACAUUAGCCGAGGCUAAGGGUUGCUUCUCUAGCUGUACCCAUUGUUGCUGGCUCCCUUGGUGAAUAGCAUUUGUACUAUGAUCAUCUGGCAGCCACCAUUGCUGUUUCCCUUGAAGUGUUCUCCAGUCAGAUAGCCCGGCUGAGAUACAUCUGCGGAUUGCUGAAAAAUGAUGGCGCAUUCGAGUAAGCGAUGCAAAAGGCGGCUUGCCAAUGUGUGAAAAUAUCUGGGAAAUCUUAAUGUACGAGAAGAGAGUGCUACUGAAAACGCAAGUAUUAAAAGGAAUCCUCAUCUUACCUGUGUGGGUUCAGAGAAUCCAUUACAGACCGUAUAAUUGCAUAGUGUGUAACCAUCCCGUUUCAUCUGCAUAUACAGCCCAAAACUCAGAAAUAGACCUGAAAUAUUAUUUCAGUAUACGAAGAAGAUGGUUCCUGAUAAAUAUUCAUCUUACAUUUAUGAUGAAAAUAUUUUGUUAUAAUAUUUAUAGUUUUCACAAGUGUAAUAUUAGAUUGCAUAUCUGUUGCAACGCACGGGCCUUUUACUAGUCUAAUCUAAUCUACUAAAGUUGAAAACAAUUAUCCAUCAAUGCCACGUGCGUGUCGAUAACGUCAAGGCUAUUUCCAUAUCCUCUCUCCAUAUUCUCCAGAUUAGGUCACAUGCAUGCCCACGACGGCUGUCGGCCAGCGCACGAGAUUGAUUUUUCAACCUAAAGUUAGGCUCCUAAUAUGAUCCUUUCCCCUAGAUUAGAGUGGAAAGCCAACCCUUUUUAUUAAUUCCAUCUUUUAUCGCGACGUUCUCUUGCCGAUUGAUCCAAUUAACAAUCAGUGUGCACCGCAUGCAGUCUAUCAUCAGUAGCUCUUGGCAGAUCACGGUUGAUGGCUUAGUGGACCAAGUCCAUGCAUGCAAAUUGGUCGCAAGAAAGAAGAUGUAAAGUUAUAAACUUGAUGCACUAGAGCACGUACACAUCCAAGAGGCUAGAUCUAUACUAUGGUGCGUAGCGGCGGUAAGGAAGAUAUAAACUUUAUGCACGUACGGUGGUAAACAUCUUAGAGACUAGAUCUUGAUUCUUGUGCGUAUGUAUCUUUCUUUUGAUUGUUUUUUCCAUUGCCUUGAUAUAUAGUUUUAGAGCAUAUCGUCGUCAUGUAAUAUCUAGAUACCGACAAAUGUAACCUAUUCCUUAUUCACGCCUUGAUGCACCUUUUUCUGUUCAUUUAUAUCUCUACUUUUUUCCUAGUAGGUAUAGUGUACCGUCCGCGAGAUAAUACAUAUUCGAGAGAUGGAGAUUAGGACGGUUUGAUCAAAUAUUUCUUGCAGGCUAUCAAGGUUUUCUCGAAUGUUCACGUGGACCAAUCUGUCGAUGUUAUCUGAAGUAUGUGCAUACGGCAAUACAUACUAAGUGUGUGCAUACUUGACUGUCUAUGUAGAGGAACGGAAUCAGAAACACCUGUUAUGUACACAGAUAGAAGAAGCAAUUUAGAACACCAAAACACGAGUUGUAUUAAUGUGGCUGAACAAAACCCCGUGUAUGAGUAAUGCAUUAUGUUCUAAUGGACUAUAAUAUUUCUUGGAGUGUAUACCUAAUUGGAAACUCUUUCUUGA